rnacentral:tRNA from 1 species
AAAAUCCGUCGAUUUUGAAAUCAUGAGGGUUCAAGUCCC